GUGUCAUUCUCUUCAUGUCAUUCUCGCAUCUAGAACAUUUCUACUGCGUUUUUCAUUCACAAUAACUUUCCUACCAGACGGAAAUGGUGAAAAUGAUGCAAAAAAUUACGAGAGUAUUAGAAGAGAGAAAAAAAUUUAGGAGUAGUUGAAAAUCACGUCUAAAAGUACUACUGAAAAAUGUUCAAUGAACAUGGUUCAAUGUUCCGAACAUGGUGCAUGGUGCAUAGAACAUUUUUCAUAAAAAAACAAGAAAAUGCAAUGUGGUCAGAAAAUCGUUUCUAUACACGCAAUAUCUUCUUCGCUAAAAAGCAAAAAAUUUCUUCCAUUUCAACGUUGAGUCCAAUUCUAUGGAAACUCUUUCAUCUUGAUUAAUUUAAUCACAUGUCGAGAUCGAAGCAUAUGUGCUCAAAAUUCCAUAAAACAUCUAUAAUAUAUUAACUUCGAACUUUGCGAGAAAUGAUGAUGAUUAUUUUUCUCUCUUGUUCAUAAGUAAAUUUGCGCCUAAUCUCUCGAAAUCGUGACACAGAUGUGUGGAAAAAUUGUCUCUGCGUCUGUACAAAUAUGAAACGAGAACGGAUUUCAAGUUGAAAUUCUUUUUAAAUUUAAUCUAGAUUCAUUGUAUAUUGAACCGUUUAAAUAAACCUUAAAGUGAAAAUGACGAUGGCUUGCCUCAUUGGAAUUCAUAAUUAAGAAAUACGUAAAAUUCUUUAAGAUGCUGAAUAAUUUCAUAUUUAUCUAUGUUUAUUCUACAUAUUUGAAUUUUCCACAUUCGUUUUGUCUACCGAUUUAUUUACAUUUCUUUUUUAAUAUGAAGCAUUUACUUUAUGAAUUUAUUCAUUUUCAAGUUUUACGUAGUUAUGUGAGAAAAAAACACUGUUGUACUGUAUGCUUCGAUGAGGCUUUGCUUCGUCAUUGAAGUUUCAACAUGCGUUGUAAUGCAUAUUAUAGCGUUGUAAUUUACAACGUUUCAAUGCAAGAAUACAUCAAAUUCUGAAUGGAUGAUAUAACAUUGCCAAUACAUAUUGAACAUUCUUGCAAAAAUUCAUUCGAACCGCUUGAAUUUUUAAUUGCAAAAAAGUAAAUGACAUCAUAAAAGUCGCCUUUGUUUUACAUUUCGAGAAGAAUAAUUGAUUGAAUGAAUCUGAGUUAGAGUGCUUCAUGUGACGAAAAAAAAAGUCGAUCCAUUUCAUUGCGCUGUCAGAACAGACGAAGGUGUAGGUAUUUUCAAUGCAAUCGUGUCGAAAGACACGAGAGGAAAAAAAAUUCAGGAACAUGCGUGCAUUUUUUCAAAAAAACAAAAGAGAGUCUAGCAGCUGCCUGUACAGGUUAUCGCAAUGCAAGCAUCACCUCGAUAUAAAUAAUACAAUUAUGUCAGCGCCAGAUUGAUUUUCAAUAAAAAAAACUCUUCUAUCAUUUCACGAAUUUUUGCAGAGAUUUCACAAAGACCCACGGUGUUUUUUUGGUUCACAUGUGAUCGUUAAAUUGCGAUUGAUACAAACAACAAACCCGAUUUGCUUAACGUAAAAUGUUUACUGGCCAAAGUCAAGGUGACGAUUUGUAUUUCGGUAGCAAAUAUCCAAUGUUUUUGUUUGUGUGUGCUGUUUUUCGUGUGCCAAUUUGUGGCGUCUUAAAAUGUAUCGCAGUAUGUUUAUGUAUGAGAGUCUCGAUGAGAGUGACAAAGAGACUACUUGUUAUGUCUCGUAUGUGGGUGCACUCAUUUGAAGUUCAUUUUUCAUUCACAAAAUGUGUCUGUGUCGAAAUCUCGCUGUCAAAGCAUACCCAUUUUAUUUGAGUUUUUUGUUGUUUUGGCUACUCAAUUCUUAAAAUGGUGAAUGAUCCUCAAAAAUUCCCAACGUUGUUUUUGUUUCCGAAUUUGUACGAUUGUUUGCGUUUUACAUCAAUACUCGGAAAUGUGCCUAUUUGAACCAAAACAACAUUUCGGUUGGAAGAAACGCAGGAAAACAGAGAGGAAGAGGGAUAGAAAGACACAGAUUCAGAAUGACAGAUAUGCAGAGAGUCUCAGAGAGAUAGAGAUAGAACAAAAAAAUGACAGAGAAUUGAACGAUGCCAAAUCUCAGCGACUUCAUUUGUCAUGCAAAUUCAAAUGCUAGUUUACGAUGUAGUUCAAAUCACACGUGCUGCUGCUAUGUUUAUCCAAAUAAAUCAACCUCCGAGAGUGUAUCGACAGCCGACAGUCGACACUCCGACGAUGUGUUAUUUAAAAAGUUCUGGUGAUUCAAUUUGAAUCACAAUGGCAAAAUUACCAUUAUCUAUAUGGCCUGAGUUCACAUUCAAUUCUUUUCCCACAAUUUGUCCGUUGUGAACUACGCCUUGUAUAUACUUUAGCCCCUUGAUAAUUGCUCAAACAAAUCUGUGACCUCAUCUGUUCUUUAUGUACAAGGAAGCGUCGCACAUGAGCAUAAAUUUUAUUUUUAUGCUUGUUAAUUGAUAGCAAAUUAUUGUUUUACCAAUUUAUCACUCGAAGAUCUACGUCUCUGAAUCUUCGUAAUCUUUAUAAUGCCUAAAUUGGCCCAUUCUCUGCCAAUUUAUUUUCGGCUGUUUUCGAAGUUCUUAUAGGCCUACACAUAGACAUUCGCCUGUGCUAAUCUCUUCAAAAAAAAGAUCUUUCUAAUCUUUUAGGCUCUUGGCUCUUGAAUUUGCUCCAUAUUAAAUUAGCCAUCAACAGCGGCACGGCUCUAAUAAGAAAAUCUUAUCCAUCAACCCACGGAUCUCUCUACAACAGAUUUCUCUCAAAAUUGCAGAGCAAAACGUCCAAUUAUAUUGAUAAGACCAAGCAUGUAUAUCAAAAAGGCUGCAAUAAUCAUAAAUAUGGCGGCUUUCUAUACGAUUUCGACUCAUAUACCUCAUAGAUAAUGCAGAUAUUUCUAAAUUAGGAAGUAUUAAAGAUUAUAGCCUAUAAAACAAUUAUAUUUCGACGCUAUUUUUUCUAGUACUUUUUCCGUUAGGCAAACAGAUUUGCACCCUUAGCAACUCAAAAUGGCAAAGUUGUUAACAUUUGCAUUUAAUCUCUUCGAAUUGCGUGUGGGAAUAGGCUUAGAAAAGUACUUGUUAUAACAAUUAUUCUUUAGGUUUUUUUUUGUUAGGUACAACAAGUUGGCAUAAAUGCUAAAAGAAUCAUAAAUGCCAAUUAAAUCAUAAAUCAAAAGAGGUUUUAUUCCAAUAAAAAUGAGAAAAAUUCGAGUUUUUUUUUCUCUCAAUAAAUUUGAAACAACAGGUUUAUUUGUAUUCCUCGGGUAAAUGAAUGAAAAAUCAAUGAAAUAAUCAUUUCAUUUUACGAUAUCAGAGAAACGACACGUUUCGCAGCACAUUUUCUGCAAAUAAAUUAAUCUUAAACACUUGAAAACACAACAAAAGCGUCACCCGUUUCAUACAAAACCUGCACCAUUAGCAGUGCAAUAGCAAUAAAUAUGAAUUUAAUGAGUAUGGAAAUACGUCUUAGAAUAGUUUGCAUCUGGUGGAUAAGCGGAUAUAAAAACUUUUUUGUUACAACAAUUUUUGUUGAACUUUACCGAAAAGUCGAUAUUUUCGAAGUUUUUCCGAUUUCAAGUAUAUGUUUUAACGGAAGAUUUCAAGUUACACUAUAGGCCAAACGUAUAGAUAACCCUCCCUGGUAUAAAAUAUAUUGUUUCUACAUUUUUCGAACAUUCGGUCCGGCUAAAUGUUAUCUUCCAAAUCUUCCAUUCGGUCAGAAUUUUGAUAAGUUUUCAUAUCCAAUAUCAAUUUUGGACUGAAAAUGCUCGAAAAAUGCAGAAAAAUUUUAUUUUAGUAUCCCUAAUUAUGGCCUGUAGUGUAUAUUCGAAGGAAGUAUUUCGAAACGCGAUAGAAAAUGCUAUCAAUUGUGACGAUUAAUCGUCUUUUCCUUGAAUUAAAGUGGAAAAAAUCGAUUUUACUAAAACUGAUACAAGUGGAAUGCUCUCAGCUCCGUUUGGUGGUAAGCAAAGAUCGAAGAGAUUGUAAGUAAUUUCAAUCGAAGCCGUAAAAGCAACACAGUAAAACUACAUAAGCUUCUCAAUUCAACCGUGAAUAACGAAUGCGUUCAAGAGUUAAGAAUUGAUUUUGACAGGAAUAAUUAAACAAUGCUAUUCGCUAGUUUUUCGUACCGAAAGUAUGUUUGUAGACAGAGUGGUGCCGUAGUGAAAAUCGAUUGAGAGUUUCGUAAGUAUUUUCUCAUUCCAUCAAAUUCUACGGGAUUAAUCAAAUGUAGUGUUCCGCCUGCAAAUCAAUCACGCACCACUUGAGGUACAAAAGGCGAUAAGCGAUUGAACCGCACAAGGUUUAUUGGAUAAGAAGAAUGUAUAAUUCAAGUGAAUUGAGCCGAUAAGCCGCGUGCUUGCGACUCGAAAUAAUUGUCACGUACGUAAUAAAAACACCAUCAGCACAAUCACACACGAAAGAAAAAAAAGUGUAUAUACAAAUAAAACAUUCACGACAUUCUAUUUACUUGGCUGGCGUUGAUGCGAAAUGCGAAUAAUUAUAAUUUUCUACAUCGUAAACAAAUCAAUUAACACACCAUGCUUAAACUAUUGAACAAGUAGUUGACUAUAUUCGACGCCAUUCUUUUUUUUAUUUCUUCCAUCAUUUUUGCGUAUCCGAAAUCACUUAACAGUGACCAUCGUACGAAAAUGCGAUCAUGUUUAGUGAACGUGUCGUUAUCUACUAAGUCCCUCAAAUCAAGACAGCUUGAGUGUUGAACUCUUGGUGUAUAACUUUCACCGCUUGCUGGCGCAUUCAACUUCAAUGUCAGACCAAUAUCAGCAAUUGAUUUCAACACAAAUUUGUGUUACACAAAGAAAAGCCCGAGAUCUGUCACUUUCAAAUUGAACUUUUGUCAUUUCUGCGAAAAGAGAGAAUGAUAGAAUCAAUCAGACUGAUUACCUCGUGCUAAUAGAAAUAGUAAAUGCAUUGAAAUACGACAAGCCUUGUUGCCAUUGAAUUGAAUGGCAUGGCCGAAAGACGAUUAUAUUCAAUUGAUUGAUUCAAUUGACACCCAUACGGAAUACACUGGAACCGAACAAUCGAAUAGAACAUGUGCUGAACGAGGUCAAACAAUAUGUCUUUUGAUUCGCAUAAAGACGUAGCCAAGCUACGCGCUGCUCUUCAUCAAACAACUUUAUUGAUGUGAAGUUUUUUUUUCACUCAACUGUGACUCGAAAUGGACGUUGUUUACAAAUUAGCGUUUGACCAGCAUUAUUUUCGGCCGCACUAUUCUAAAUUUAGACAAGUCAUAAUGAAUCUCAUUGUUGAGCAUCGUUAUUUGCGUUUGGGCACUGGAAUAUUCGACAGCGGAUUUAUUACGCGUUUUGUGGUUUGAGUUCUUAAUGCGUUCGAAAAUCCCCUCAAUAAGAGCCUAUACCCAUUAUUGAGAGUUUAGGCUCGUCUAGAACGUUUGAAAAGGGUGCUUCGUGAUGAUGUUUUUCAAGUAAAUGCGUUUCUUUCAAAAGUCAAUCUUCAUGUUCUUCAUGUGUAUGAGCAUUUUGUUUUUCUUCUCUUCUUUGAAAUUCAAAAUAAAGUAUUUACUCACUUCAUUUACGACACAAAAUAAAUUACGCUUCAAAUGAUUGCCAAACGCAAACAUGGCUGUUUUUCAUCAACAUCUUUCUUGUCAACAGAGUCAUCUUGCGUUUUUAAUUUGUUCGCAUACAUUUUUCUGAUGGCUUGCAUUAAAGCGUCGCUAAUUACUUAGUAUAAUCAUAAUUGUUUUCAUUCCGUUGCAAUAUGAUCUUCCCGGUUUCAGUAGAGAGAACCAAGAAAAUCAACAAUUUUAUCAUCAAAUAAGGAAGACGUUGCAGUUUUGCCCGGAAUUUUGCAUUCAAGACAAAACUUAAGACAUUUUUCAAGGCAGAUGCUACAGAAUAUCAUCAACAGCUCGUGUUAAUUUAACCGAUUUUUUUUUUCAAGUUCUUCGAACAUUUUAUGUGUUCAUUAAAUUAAAAGGCUUUUGAACAUUUAUUCCGAAUUAAUUUAAACACAAUUUUCAACAAUUUUAAAAUAUUUCAGCAAAAUUUCCAACACUACGGAUAUUGGAUGACAAAAGAGGCGUACGUGCAUUUUGCAAUGCGAAAUUUUCGCAUGCAAGUACAAAAAUGAAUAUCGAAAAUUAUUCCAAAUCAAGCAAAUUUCCAAAUUCAAUUCGGCUGAAUUGAAAAUGACUACAAAUCGAAAAUUAUUACUCAAUGCAAAUCAAAAAUCAACAAAAAAAAAAUGCAAAUAAAAACUGAAUGCAAAUCGAGCACUAAUGAAAAAUGUAACUCGAGCCUGAUUUUCUGAGUGCUUCACCUGUACAUUCAUGUGCCUUGGAAAUGAAGCAACUUCAUUCUUUAAAUGAAGCAACUUCAUUCUUUAAAUGAAGCAUAAUUGUUGCAAACGUUGCAAAUUAUGUAAUUAGAUCCCAAAGUAUGUUCUGCUUGAGAAUUUGCUUGAGAAAUUCCUGAGUCUAAUGUUUCACUUGUACAUUUUGUAUGACAAUUCGCUACAAUGAUUGGUCAUUUAACAAUGAAUACACAUUGCAAAAAUGCCAGUAAAUGUCAGCAUCCGUUGCUAUGUCAACAUUGAAUAUUUUUCCACAAUGAAUUGAUUGUAUUCUUUGAAACCAAGUCUUGUUUUCGGAAAAAGAACUGCUUCGCAUUAAAAGUGAUUGCUGCUUCAAUUCUGUCGCGUCACCACCAGAAUAACGCAUAUUUUUCUCCUUUUUUCGCAUUCCGUUUCACUUUUUUCAUGUAAUUUUUUUUCUUAUUCCAUUCUGUUUUUAUCACUUCUUCUUUUUUUAUUUCCAUAUAAUUGUGAUGCAAUUAGUUGCAUUAAGUGUGGCAAUAAUUUUCAAGAACGUAAAAUGCUUCACUUAAAAUAUAGUUUUUUUUUAAAUAUCGACAAAGCAUUGCAUCUGUGCCACAAAUCAAAGCAGUUAAAAAUGCGGGAUAUGAUUGAUGAAACUGUCUGAUGUGUGCUUCACCAACUGAACGAUUGCUUAUCGUCGUGAUUUUAUUUUCCUUCUCUUCUCAAUCUCUGACAUUGACGCAAAUUAAGAUCGCUUUACAAUGGAAACAAAACUUGAAUAUGCAAAGCAGUGCAAACAAUAGCUCUUUAUUGGGAUAAUAUGCAGUUUGGAGGGUCGGAAGACCGAACGUAUUUUGCACAGGAAGAAUGUGUGUUGCACAAAAGAAGUCCUUGUUUAAAACAGCUCUGUUUUUGUUAAAAUUUUCUACACGUAUGCCAUUUGGGUGUUUCAAUGGCAAUGGCUGUUGUUUUUUUUUUUUGUUGCUUCAAUCGAAAUGUUGAUCCGUAAUGAUUUCGUCGAAAGAGAUUUCAAAUUGCACGCGUCUUUCCUCGACUCCAUUUAUGGCGACGUGGAAAUAAUUCUGAUUUCUAUCUGCAUAUCCAAGUGUGUUCUACUUCAAUAUUCAACGCACGUGAGACGCGCUCUCCGCAUCAUUUUGCACGCAAAUUAAGACUGCCUUACAACCGAGUCGAUUGAACUGACUGGGUUUUGUGCAAAACUGGCUUCUGUUACAGACUACGCUUCCAGCAAUCUUCGAUGAAAUGAGCUGAUACUGACACUUCAAAGUAAAAGCAUUGCUUUAUGAGUGCAUUUAAUGGGUCUCUCUCUCUCUAUUCAAAUGAACCAUUUUUUUCUAAUGUAGUACACAGCAGUUUAAUUAUGUAAAAAUUCUACUCUCAAUUUGAUUUGUGGGUCAGUAAUGGUUCGGUUUUCUAGCACGGAUAUCACAAUUUUUUUUUUAUUCGAAUUGGAUAAGUGUGUGCCAUACAGUCGCUGUUUUUAAUAGGUAAUCAGAUUAGUCUGGCUCCAUUAAUCGAUACUCAUUGCAAUGCCAGAUGCUACAAUUGACCCACAACUAUCUCUUUUACAAACAACGUAAUUUUGUUUCUAUUUUUUUUUUUAAUCAGAUGAUUCAAGUGGCUGCUGCCACGUUUUUGAUAUAAAAUAGACGUAUUUUGUAGUCAUAGCAUUUACUUUGCAUAUUAGUUAAUCGAAAACAAUUUUAUUGUUUCUUGCUCGACGUUUGAAACGCACGAUUCGGAAUAAUAAUGAUGAGUACUUGCCCAAAAUGGUCGGAGUUUUAACGAAAAUAAAAAUCACAUCGCAUUUCUAAUUCUAUUUUUAUGGAAUUUUUUUUUUGUUUCGUGAAAUUAAAAGUUCUCAUCGUCUGGUACAUUCUAUCGGGUUUUCACACAAAACAAUGACUUUAUUCGAAUGGCUGGGUAGUUGAGAGCAAGAGUGACCUUCAUUUGUUCUUUUUUUUUCGGUAUAAAGUGAACCACCGUAGAUUCUACAGUUUGUAGAAGCUACUAAUCAUCAAUUCUCUGGUGAUACGAUGUGGAAUUCUCAACUCACUAGUGUGAAUUAUGCAAAUAAUUAAACAUUUAGUGAGCAAUAUAAGCAUAAAAAAUUUUACCCGAAUAAAAAUGAUUACAAAGAGUGAACAUGUUCUGAAAAGAACCGAAAAAAAAAUCUCCUGAACAAAGGUCAGAAUAAAAAGCGCUAUAAAAAUGCGAGGCUUUUGUUUUGAUCGUAUUUUAUCGAAAUAUUUCUUGCAUUUCAUCUUCUUGGAAAUGCUUUUAAUGCUUUUUAUGCUGCAUUUCAUUGUAAUUUUUAUUCAAUGCUCCGCAAAACAGAAGAAAUGAAGAAAUUAAAAAAAACUCCAAGAAAUAAAAUGUUGCAUAAAAUUAGAGACGUUUCAUGAAAAAAAAAGAACGUAUAUUGAAGGUUAUUUUUGUUUUCAACGGUUCAAUGUAUUGGCAAAUGAAGAUGUAUGGUCCGAAUUUAACCACGAAAUGAUUUUUUCGACCUCGCUUUGAAUAUAUUGAGCAUUGAUUAGACGUAGUAAAUCAAAUCAAACUAAAUUUAAAUUUAUUCGUGUUAUUCAUCGGAUUUUUGGUUUCUAUGUCAAUAUUUGCCGCGUGUGAUAAACGCAAGAAGGAUGGUAUGCCAAAAGUGUCAUGGACAUGAUCUUCAACUUGAACUCUUUGGCAAUUGGUCAAAAUGAGCAGUAACAUGUGAUGUUAGCAAACCAUGAGCAAUUAUAAAACAAGUCUAGAAUAAGCCUUUGAGAAUAAGUAGUAGCAUCUCUCUGGCUGUGGUGACACCGGCUGAAGUGCAUUCCAUUAGCUUUGGUCGCCAUUGAUUUUUGCACAUGUCCACUUAAGAUCAUUCUUCAGGAUUAUUUCGUGCUCAGUUUGCCAAGUCCAAAAACCGGCUUCAUGAAUAAAAAUAAAACACUCGAUUGGAUUUGCAUAUGUUCAGAUUGACGUGUUCGAAACCCAAACGAAGAUACGAUCGAUUCGUGUUGUUUCCAAGUGUUUUGAUGGAAAUUGAAACUUCUAUGCUAUAUUUCAACAUGCGUUUGCAGAACAAAGCAGAUACAACAAAAAAAAUAUGAACAAUCCCAAUGAAAGUUCCAAAAAUAUCGCUUUUUUAUUCAAUUAUCAAUCCGAAAUUGGUGUCUGUGUGUCUUUUGUUGAAUAAAAUUUCAUAAAAUAUGUGCUCCUUACUUGACUUUUUUUUUUCUUCAGUGAACAACUGAAUCGCUCGCUAAAUUCCAUAAAAAUCAAACAAUAAAAUUUGUUUAUCGCAUUCCAUUUUUUAAUGCGGUCGAUUGAGAGAGAGAGAGAGAGAGAGAGAGA